rnacentral:rRNA from 1 species
UACGAAGGGGGCUAGCGUUGUUCGAAAUUACUGGGCGUAAAGCGCGCGCAGGCGGUCCUUCAAGUCAGAGGUGAAAGCCCAGAGCUCAACUCUGGAACGGCCUUUGAGACUAGAGGACUUGGGUACGGGAGAGGUGAGUGGAAUUCCGAGUGUAGAGGUGAAAUUCGUAGAUAUUCGGAAGAACACCAGUGGCGAAGGCGGCUCACUGGCCCGUUACCGACGCUCAGGCGCGACAGCGUGGGGAGCAAACAGG